rnacentral:rRNA from 1 species
CAGUCGCCGCGGUAACACGGAGGGUGCAAGCGUUAAUCGGAAUUACUGGGCGUAAAGCGUGCGUAGGCGGUUCGUUAAGUCUGUUGUGAAAGCCCCGGGCUCAACCUGGGAAUGGCAAUGGAUACUGGCGAGCUAGAGUGUGUCAGAGGAUGGUGGAAUUCCCGGUGUAGCGGUGAAAUGCGUAGAGAUCGGGAGGAACAUCAGUGGCGAAGGCGGCCAUCUGGGACAACACUGACGCUGAGGCACGAAAGCGUGGGGAGCAAACAGGAUUAGAUACCCCAGUAGUCCCUGUCUCUUAUAC